rnacentral:lncRNA from 1 species
CUUGAACCUGGGAGACAGAGGUUGCAGUGAGCGCCACUGCACUCUAGCCUGGGCGACAAGAGCAAAACUCCAUCUCCAAGAAAAAAAAUAGAGGCUUUAUGCAGCAUUCACCUUCUGUGCUGCAAGGACACAGCAUUCCUUCCCUCUGGAAGAUGCAGCGACAAGGCACCAUCUUGGAAGCAGAGAGAAGCCCUCCCAGACACCAAACCUACCAGUGCUUCCAUCUUGGAUUUCCCAGCCUCCAGAACUCGAACACUCUGUGUGGCUUCCCUCAUAAAUGCCCCCCAGGACUCAGAAUUCUCACCCCAAAGGAUUUGAGACCGAGUCUGCAAGACACGGAUCGUCCAGAUGAGUGUUUUCCUCUUUUCUCCGCGGCACUGAGGGGCUGAGAAGCAUCUGGAGAUCUCAUGCAACUCUCAAUUUCCCACCACAGCCCCGGCCCCCACUCAGCAUGGCCCAAAAAAGGAGCAAAAAGCAGAAAGCUCAAGGACCCUCAGAAUCAAGUUUUGCAGAAAGACACAAAGCUCAAGAACAGAGGUGCAACUAAGGGAACACACCCUGUAAGACUGCCUCCCAGACACACCACUGCAGCCAGUGAAUUGCACUGUUUAGACUUUGACUUCAGGGUCAGGGUGAGCUGAUGAGACUGGCCCCUUGAUGAAGUAAGAGGCCACCAAGGAGUGAGAGCGGCUGAGUUUGAGCCCUGCCUCUGCCGUCUGCAACUCUCUCAUCUUGAGCAGGUCCAGCCCCAGUGUGGGCCUCAGAUCUCCCAUCCUUGAGAUGAGAGAAUUCAAAUCCAGCUCCACCUCUGCAGCCCACGCCCUUCCCCUGCACUGCAUGGCAUCCGAUAGGCUUGAAGAAGGCGUGAAUGACAUUCAAAGGGCCACAUCAUCUAAGUCGCACUCCUCUCCCAUCCCAUCCCUUGUUGUCCUUUACAUGAUUCCCAUUCAUCUUUCUUCUCUUGGGCCCAGGGGUGUGCUGGUGAAUGUUUAACAGCCACUCCAUGAAAAAAUAAAAC